UGGUAAUGCCGGAUGCUCCGGUUGGAUGCAUGUCCUUCCGGGAAAGAUUCUAUCGGUAUGGGAUGGGGUCGCGUCCUAUCAGCUUGAUGGCGGGGUAACGGCCCACCAUGGCUUCGACGGGUAGCCGGCCUGAGAGGGCGACCGGCCACAUUGGGACUGAGAUACGGCCCAGACUCCUACGGGAGGCAGCAGUGGGGAAUAUUGCACAAUGGGCGCAAGCCUGAUGCAGCGACGCCGCGUGCGGGAUGGAGGCCUUCGGGUUGUAAACCGCUUUUGAUCGGGAGCAAGCCCUUCGGGGUGAGUGUACCUUUCGAAUAAGCACCGGCUAACUACGUGCCAGCAGCCGCGGUAAUACGUAGGGUGCAAGCGUUAUCCGGAAUUAUUGGGCGUAAAGGGCUCGUAGGCGGUUCGUCGCGUCCGGUGUGAAAGCCCAUCGCUUAACGGUGGGUCUGCGCCGGGUACGGGCGGGCUGGAGUGCGGUAGGGGAGACUGGAAUUCCCGGUGUAACGGUGGAAUGUGUAGAUAU
rnacentral:rRNA from 1 species